GCUUACGGCCACACCGCCUGGUUCACGCCCGAUCUCGUUUGAUCUCGGAAGCUAAGGUAGGUUGGGCCUGGUUAGUACUUGGAUGGGAGACCGCCUGGGAAUACCAGGUGCUGUAAGUA
ensembl:rRNA 5S_rRNA 5S ribosomal RNA